rnacentral:rRNA from 1 species
UUUUUAUGAGAGUUUGAUCCUGGCUCAGGACGAACGCUGGCGGCGUGCCUAAUACAUGCAAGUCGAACGCUUUUUCUUUC